rnacentral:rRNA from 1 species
GCCUGCCGUAAACUUAGACGUUCCUCCACAACGGACGUCCGCCAGGGGACUACGAGCGCCAGCUUAAAACCCAAAGGACUUGGCGGUGCUUCAGACCCCCCUAGAGGAGCCUGUUCUAGAACCGAUAACCCCCGCUCAACCUCACUACUUCUUGCUCUCCCUGCCUAUAUACCGCCGUCGUCAGCUUACCCUGUGAAGGCACUACAGUAAGCAAAAUGGGCCACGCCCAAAACGUCAGGUCGAGGUGUAGCGUACGAAGUAGGAAGAAAUGGGCUACAUUAUCUGAAGCAGAUUAUUUUACGGAAGAUCACCUGAAACUUGGUGGCCCUAAGGUGGAUUUAGCAGUAAGAAAGGAAUAGAGCGCCUUUCUGAAGCCGGCUCUGAAGCGCGCACACACCGCCCGUCACUCUCCCCAACAACACGAACAUUUGCUAUUUAACAAGCCAACAGCCCCAAGGGGAGGCAAGUCGUAACAUGGUAAGUGUACCGGAAGGUGCACUUGGAUUAAC